rnacentral:rRNA from 1 species
CUCGUAGGCGGUUCAGUAAGUUGGGUGUGAAAGCUCCGGGCUCAACCCGGAGAGGCCACUCGAUACUGCUGUGACUAGAGUCCAGUAGAGGAGCGUGGAACUCCUGGUGUAGCGGUGAAAUGCGCAGAUAUCAGGAAGAACACCGGCAGCGAAGGCGGCGCUCUGGGCUGGUACUGACGCUGAGGAGCGAAAGCAUGGGUAGCAAACA